UCUCCCGUGGGGUCACGGUCUUGCCAGCAUACUGUGAGAGCACGUGAAGCUACUCCUGGCUAGCGCUUUCGCUUUAGAUAUCCAUGGACUUUGUUGCCUACUGAGCCAUCAAGCUACAACUCCAUGACUACCUCGCUUGGCCACAUGCUCGAGGUGGUCUUCAGUUUCUUCCCCGGCUCCAAUCUGGCCCUAGUCAAUCGCGACUACCGCUUUGUCGCUUUAAUCGAAAAAAAAUUCCCCGUCGUCGAGUGCAUCUCAGAGAGUGAGGGGAGCACAAAAAAGUCACCAUCCUUCAUGCGAUUUGCGAGGUCUUUGCUGCAUAGGAAGAUAAUGGAGCCUAAUGGAGCCCCCGUAGAUGACGCUAGAGGGGUUACGCCGCCUAGAGCCACCAUAUGCGCCCGCUGCCACCCUCAUUGGCCCGAGCUGAGAAAAAUCCCAUCGGUCAGAUGAUAGAGGAACAAGUCAAGCAGUCCACUAAACAAGUAGGAGGAGGUGUGCCCAAGCAUUGGAGCUCGCACGUGAAGAGCUCAAAAAUAAGAGAAAAGAGAUGUCCUUAGAGAGUCUCCAACAACAUUGGUGUUUUGGACUGCUAAAAACUGGAUAUAGGAAGAGGAGAGAAGAUUUAGCAAUCCCAACAAAAUUUUACUGAAACAACAUCCUUAUAAAUUUAGCAACGGUCCACUUGUCAAUGGAACAAAGGGCAAGCGAUGAUCAAUGCUCAACCGGCCACUACUUUUACUCAGCUUCAUAUAAUUUUGGGUUCACUUAUAGCAAUGCUAUUGGAGCAAGACUUUUGCCUCAAAUUGCCAAAAUUGUAGAUUAUAUAGAUUGAGGGCAAGUACAAGAAUGCUGUUGAAGAUACUCUUAUUUCAUGCAAGUUCUGCAACUCGGUUGGAGACAAGUCAAAGACUGGAUAUCCUGGACUUGUAUGCUUCCUCGACCUGUAUGCGUAAUGGACUUUUUUUGAACAGGGAAGGGUCCAAAGACCCUAGAAGCUGCUAGUAUUACCAAGGCAGAGAGUACAUUUUGCAGAAAAACCCCCACAGAACAGAAGAAUUCUGGAUAAGGACAGAAAAUUUACAGAAAGGGUCCUAGAAAGAUUGUAGGAAAAGCAAUCAGGUCCUUCCUUGUCUGCUCCGCGCCUGCAGGUCGUCGAUGCAUCGCUCCACCACAGGAGAGACACCGGCGCCGGGGACGAACCACUUGGUCCGGCGUCGUGGCUGGAGCUGAAGGCCUUCCCCACGGACUGCUUGGUCUCUGGGAAGGAGAUGGUGAGGAGGGUCGCCUUUCGACCAUAAGAUGCAGAGGCAAGGCGGCGAUGGCCACCGGCAUCGGUCCUCCGCUGAAGAACUCCAAGAUCAAGGCCAAACAAAGUCGAUGGCCAGCCCUUGGCCACCGUGUGAAAGCUCGAAGUAGCAGCAAGUGAUUUGCCAGCUGCCACAGACUCCUUAUCGCCGUCGGUGUCCUGCCCCUCGCCGCCACGGCCGGCCAAGAGGACACCAAGGAGAAGAAGAAGAUGCAGCUACUGGAGACAGCGCUUAUUGACCGAGCUCGUCGCAGCAACUCCGCUGGACGCCCACCAUGGACGCAAGCGGCGAGCCACCCUGAUUUGCUUCCCGAUGCUGCGCCAGCACCUCGAGAAGCACGCUCCAACCCACCUUAUUCGCCGAGAUGCUUGCGUUGAUAUUGCGCCGCAGCCGCUGCCCACGCCACCGGAGCCACGCCGCCGCACCGCCCAACAACAGGAUGCACCAGAUCUGGUGAGAGAGAGCUGGUGACCUACUCCAAGACGCCACUACGGGACUACUACUACCUACACCUACGCCGGCGCCUUUCCGUCGCCAUCUCCGGCCAGCAGAGCCGCCGGAGAGGGGUCGGGAUCGGCCCGGAGGAAAGGAGGGGGCUCUCAGUUACUGUUCACGAGAGAGGAAGGGGGAAAUGAGUAUUUUGCUUACAAAAUGAGCUUACGAGCUGAUGCGGUGAGCAGCUCCGCAUCAUGAUUUUAUGGGAAAAACAACAAACGCCAAUGCUUAUCCAACUACAUCAGUCCACGUUUACUAAUAAAGAAAGCAAUAGUGCCCAAGGCAAUGCCCACCGUGGUAUAUGGGGAAGGUACCAGUUUGUCCUACCUUUUGAUCUGCCAAAAUUUAUAUGGUAUUUGAUCGAGAAGUCAUAUUGGAUCCUGGGUACCAGUGCUCUUGCCAGAUUAAAAAAAUUCGAAAAUUAUAUUUAUAUGUUUACAAAAAUUAUGUAACAAAAUUCUAAAAGUACCUAAUGAUGUACCCCACUAACCUACAAAAAUUAUGUAACAAAAUUCUAAAAGUACCUAAUGAUGUACCCCACUAACCUACAAAAUAUCAAUUUCAAAUGUUUUGUUUUUUCACCUAUACAAAAAUGACAAAAUCUGUUUUCCUUUUUGUAGAUUUGAAUCACUAUACUCAGAUCUAUGCAUUUGUUAUUUUUGUGCAGCCUAAAAUAUACAUUAUUUUCAGUUGAAAAUUUACACGAUUGUGGGAUACAAUACCGGCUACAUCAUGAUUUAUUUUCAGAUUUUUAUGAAGCGUGGAAAUAUGAUUUUUAAUUUAUUUUUUGAAGUGAGAUCACUGGUGCUCAUGUGCACCAAAUCUCUGUCCGUAUUUAAUCCAUUUUAAUUAGCUUAGAUUUAACUUUAUACUAAAUUCAAGUCAAUUAAAAGAGAUCGAAGGGAGCAUGACCUAAGGACAUCGGUGCUCCAGCUUAUGAGAAGUUGCCAUGGACCUCAAUGGUGAUUGGUGAACCCCUUCCUAUAUAUGAGCCUUUUUAUUCCCUAUGGAUGGUAUACUAUUUGAGCAUCUUCCAUUAUUAGGUUUAAUUCAAUAAGAACGGACACAAAGGAGGAUGUUGAGGGAGCCCGAAAACCGAAGCCAUCCAAGGUGGAACCAUGAAAGAGAAGGAAGAAGCGAUAACUUGAAGAUGAUGCCUGAUUGUCCAACCCCUUGCAACCGUCUAAAGCCCAAGUAGCUAAAGAUGCAAAGUUAUACAAGUUUUAUGGUGAUUGGUAUUUUUAAUAACCGUCCAUCCACCCCGAUCUGAUGGUGAUAAAUAGACGGAACCAAUCUGACGGAACCAAAAAUGUAGGACCGAAACCUUAAAUGUAUUUUCUGAAAAUUAUAAAAAACAAGUGUCCUUUUGAGCGGCCGAAACAUCCAAUGAAACUGCACGAAUCUUAAAGUGAUUGACUUUAUCCCCUCUCCCCGCUCAUCAUCUUUUCUUUUUCUUGAACUGGCCCCUCUUCAUCAUCUCUGGUAGUAUGUUUCCGACGGAAUCCUCUCCCCGGCGAUCCUCUCUCCACCAACCAGAUCACAUCCUAAUUCCAAUUUCUUGCCAGCGAGCGACCCUAUCGGUGAACUCUCGAUGACUGUGCGGCUGUCUCCCACAUGGCUGUCGUCGGCGGAACCACCAAGUCGUGCACCUGCGCUAGGCGAGGAAGGAGGAGGGACGUCGGGGCCAUAUCCAGGAUAAGCGGCAGGGAACCUGGGCGGCGCUGCCUCCUCUCGAUUCCCCAAUUCCCGGACCCUGCCUCUGCGCUCCGUGCCCGUUUCGUGUUCGACGGAAGGCUCGCCUAAUCAGCGGAAGUCAGGGGAGGCAGGGAUAUACUUGGUGAAACUUGACGGGCGGCAGGAGGCUCUCCACUUCGCCAAGAUCAUGUUGCGGCUCAAGAAGCUCAGCUACGGCCUCAGCCAGGAGCACGGCGACCCUGUCCUCAUCAGAAUGUCUGCGCCAGCCUAACGCUGGCCUUACAGAGAGGGACACUAGCAGGUACUUCCAAGUCUGCCAGGACCAAUAUGGGCAGAAGAUGACAUCGGUGCAUCAUAGGCUCUCUUUGCUUGACAGCAACAAUAGCAGCAGAGGUUGACACAUUGAUGAUGAUGAUGAUUUUAAGCUGGUGGUGAGAUGCUUAAAAGAACGAAAUCAUCUGAUCUCCCGUUAGUUGGGUUGGAAACAACUGGUUCUUGAGUUUGAAUUAUUCCUCCAAUAAUCCAAAAGUUAACUUUCAUAGUUCUUAAUUCAUGGUUGUUCCUAGCAGCUAUGGUGAAGUUUAUGAAGAAGCUUGCUAGGAUGGAUAUUGAUAUGAGGGUUGAAGAGAAGCAUUCAUUUUCAGUUCGUUUUUAAGAAUACAAUUUGUACCAGUUGUGCCCUAUGUCGAAAAGAUUAUCGUUAAGUUUGUUUUUGGGCUCUCUAGCGCCAUUUCCCCUUCUAUUGUAAGAGUGGAGCAUGUGACAUAACACUUCUAAAGUGGCUCACACAUUCUUAUUGGAGAGCUAAGGAAGGUUACCUCAUAAUAUGUUACUGCAGUUAUAUCAAAGUGGUACUGAUAACUUGCCUAAUA